CAAGGGGAAUUCAGCUGUUUAAUUAAAGUUAAAAGCAUUGUGAAGGCUCAUGGCAGGUGUUGAUGCAAUGUGAUUUCAGCCCAGUUCUCCAACUGCCAAAGUGAAGAAAUUCCAUGAAGUGUGGCUAAAUGGCAGGAGUAACUGUGACGCUCUUAAGAGGGGAUCUAGUUACUAGGCUUAGCUGCAGAGGCUACACCUCCUCGUGGUCCUGCUGGAUGCCCAUUCUUGGGCAACUGAGUUAGCC
rnacentral:ncRNA from 1 species